UACAUUCCCACCAAUAAAGUAGGAGGGUUCCCUUUUCUCCACACCCUCUCCAUCAUUUAUCGUUUUCCGUAUAAAACGUACCUGUCACCCAAGCUCCACUGCUUCUUGUCUAUUUCAAACCUGGAAUCUUCGACCAUUACUGAGUUGAGCAGAGCCUGGCUCCUGUGCUCACAAUUCCAGCGCGUGUGCCAGUCCCCUCUCCUGGGCGCGGGUGGAGGGGGAGUGACAGCAACUUAGCACCCGUGCUGGGUGGGGCUUCCUGCUUGUCUGUGCCCAAUGCACAGUGCAGCCUGUGCUUCCUCCUGGACUCCCCUCCACGCUCUGAAGAAGCCCCCGGACUGUCUGUGCUUUACAGGUGAGACGACUGGAGCACAGAAUUGCGGUCACUUAGGGCCACCCCACACAGCCCACCUUCCACGCCUGCCUUCCUAGGCUGACCGCAAUGACCUGAAGCAUUUUGUUAACACUUUUCCAAGGGAGAGAAUCCCUUCUGAGCAUGUACCUGAGUGUUGCUUUAAAGUUGUAAAAAAAAAUUAAUCAUAAAUAAAAAUCUUGAUGUCAUUUUAAAAGAAUUCAACAUUUUGGACAAUGAACCUGAAAGUUCGCAGAGUUCGUGCCUGGUGUCACUCCGGCUCAAGGCUGGAGAUGCGUGGGGGCUUCUCUGUGACAGUGUUUUCUUAGCACAGCCGGUCCUGGUCCUCCCGGGGCACUUGUGCCUGGAAAUACAGAAAGGAAGGCCAAGAGAAUCAGUUGUGCCGAACAAACCAGCAGAAUCUGAAGUGUGGCUAGUCAAACUGAGAAUUCAGAAGGAAGGAAAUCAGAUCUUCACCCCAAUUCCUUUACGUCUUCAAGUGCGGUGUUGGGAGGGGCCAGAUGUGGCCACAAUGCAGCCAUGAGAAAGAGGGUCCAUGAAAAUGCAGUGUUUUCUCUCCGUCCAGUUAGCUUUGGUUCCGGGAAGGGAUAGGCACGAGGUGCACUGGGCAAACCACAAUUCGCCGCAUCCCAUUUCUGACCUCGUGGUGCAGGUGGCCGGCCUGGGGAGGGGGGAGGGGGGGCAGGAACGAGAGUGCAGAGGGUGGGGCGGAAACAGGCUCCUGGCUUUGCCCCUUCGGGGUAGGACAUCAGACACGACACCGUCUUGUGGCCACACUUCUUUCUGGUUGUGCCCCUCUUGACGUGGUCUUUAGACUCACACACCCUAAAGUGUCCCUGUGUAAGAGUGGACGUGGGUGCCCAGUUAAAGUCCCACUUUGUGAGCAGUCAUCUUGAGAUGCAGGGAACGGGGCGAAGAUGGUCUUAAAAACCAAGGGAGGUGUCUUGUGUUUAUCUCAAGACCUGAGCAGCGAGAGGUGCGCGGAGGUGGAGGAGAGGGUCCUCAUGCUCCUCCCCCCACCCCCACCCCAACCCCCGGCUUCCCCUUUUCCUGUCCCUGCCCUCCAGCCUCUCCCAGAGCCCUGGACCCCGGGGCCCUGUUGGCAUCUUUGCUCAGAGGAAGCUCAGAUUGCAAGCCCUUCUGGCCCUGGUUUCUGAGAACAGCAGAGAUAAUCCCCAGUGUCCUGUUGGUGCGACUGUCCGGGGUCAGAUCUCGCACCAGCGGCGUCUUUGCUUUCCCUUGCACCCCCGCAGCAGAGGAGGGAACGUGCACGUGUAAGCAUCUCAGGAGACCACUUAGAAACCCCAAGAAAUUCAUCUCCAGAGUGAAAACGCUUCUGCCUCAUGUGGAUCUGGCCACCUGGAGAAGCUGUCCCCUCUCCUGGUCAACUGCCCUUGGAGGGACUGUGGCGUCUGGAAAUGUCUAAGACGAGGGUGAGGGGAAGGUGGGGGCAGGGGCCAGGGGGAUGCAGUGUGUCGUCAGUUCUCAGGGGUCUGAGAGUUAACUACAGCCCAGGGAGAAAGGCCUCCCUCUCGGACUUGGCGCCACCGUAUCUGCUGGGAGCAGAUAAGAUGCACUGAUUGGUCUCGGUGAGAGCACCGGACAGGCUGCUGGGAGGCAGGCGAGGAACCAGCGUCCAUGGCACCACUGGCUCCCUGCUCCUCCUCUUUCUGGAAGUGGAGGAUGGGAAGCAGUCUCUGCCUUUGAGGUUUCCCCAGGCUUUUCGCUAAACAGCCCAGAGACCGGAAGGCUCUCCACACUGCCUGCGGAGGGCGGGUCCUCCAGGGGCCCAGAGCCGUCUUGGUGCCCUGUACGUGUGUCAGGCUCUCCACGGAGCUCCUGGAUUCCCGGGAGGGGUCGUCAGUGUUGGAAUCCGUGUUGGGUUUUUAGCUUUUACGUCAGAAAUACCUGAUGCCUUCCCACCUGCUUUGUGAUGUCUGCAUUCCCUGAGCUUCUCCACUACUGUUGGAAUUUCACCUGAAAAGCUGCAAGCUUUUAUAGCAACCCUCUGGAGCACAGGAAUCUUUGUCCUGUGUGCAGAGGGAGUCUGGUGAGGUCGGUGGAGGCUGAGGAGCACCUGCAGUUGCGGCGGGCCUGGAGCUGGUGAGGACACGUCCUUUGUCAACAGAUGAAAGCACAGGUCUGCGAGAGAAGGGACAGGCCUGCGGUCACUCUGCAGGCCGGAGGCGAGGGGGCUCAUCCCUGCACAACUUCGGGGCCGCGCUGCUGUUCCAGCCUCUGCUGGCCCCGCCAGCGCCCCAGGGUCCCCGGGGAGCAGUUCUGCAGAGGACUCAGAGUCAGCCGAUUAGGAAACAUUGAAAGAGAUGACUUCAAACACCCCUUCCUUCCGGCUUCCAGAUUCUGAAUGUAAUUUCUAAGCUUCCUUCCCGGAAAAGGAGCUGUUCUCACCACAGUGGGGGUUCAGGAGCAGAGCAGUGAGUUCAGAUCUAAAAGUCGGGGCGGGGGUGGUUUGUAAGAGAAACCAGAUCUUUUCACAUCUCCUUAAAGGGUUCAUCCACCAGGAUCACUGGGGCUCCAGCCUGGUCCUGAGGUUCUUCACGGAGAAGAGCAGGGAGGGCAGGAGGGGCUCUGAGGGUCAGGACAUUGGAGAAGGAGGCCAGGCUGGGGGAGGUGGGGGGGAGGGGGAGGAGAGCCGGCACCGCGCCCUCUGCUUGGGCAUCUCCGCUGAGGCCUCCAGUGGGACAUCACAGUUCUGCUUGAACACAGGGCCCGGAAGAGUCACAAAUCCUUCCUGAAACACGGGUAAGAUCCCUGAAUGGAUCCAGCUGGAGCGGUUUGAGACCAGCCUUGGUCCUUACGUAAUUUACUCCUGAAAUAACAAACGUCCCGCCUCCCCAGUACCCCAGCCAGGCAGACACACAGGUGACUGCCUCUCCCCUGGGACUCAGAGUCAGCCUGCCCAGUGGAGGCGUGGGCUAUGUGUCAAAGCACUUCCAGAAAAGCCGGUCGGGGAGCAGGCAGGCCCUGCCCCUCCCUGCUGGCCCGGCAGGACCCGCCCCGGGCCACAGCCUGGAUCCCCGCCCCAGAGUCUCAGCUGAAACUGGGGCCCGGACCUUAAUACGAGGCCUCUUAAACAUAGGGAGUUUGCAAUCCAAGACUCAUCUAAGGUGGAAAAGCAGGUGCUUGUGGCAGUUUGGACCCUCUGGAGCCUGGAGAAAAGCUGGACCCUUUUCAGAUCACGAAGGAAACCAAGCAAACUGCAGUUCUGAUUGCCCGUUCUGCCCAGUCUCAGGCACGGGUACUGCACUGAUGUGGUCCAGCCUCCAACCAUGCCCACCAGUGAGGCUGGUUCUCCACAUUCUCAGCGGCAGGUCAGGAAACGCCCUGAGGGGUUAAGGCAUCACCCCAAGGGAGUGUGACCUGGGCACAGUGGGUUCACGUGCAUUUCUAGUGAAACAGGUGCUAAGACAGACAGCGCAGGUCGUCAAAACGCAGCUCCUUAAAUGCCGUGAGACGCACAAACCGUUUACUCACUUGUAUGGAGACGUGCACGUGAUUGAGAACUUGGGGUGAGGGGACUUCUAAGCAGAAGCUUAAUAAACUUGGAAUCCCAAGGUGAGCAUAAAAUUAAGCCACUUGGCCACUUAUACCAUUAAUUCUUUUCAAAAAGAUUAAAUUACGCCUUUUUUUGGCUUCAGGGCCUUGGAAGGUGAGACUGCUUUUCAGAAAUGACCCUCCGCUCAUGUGGAGCCUGUCCGCGGACCUGCCCUUGCUCCUCACAGUGGCUCCAGAAGCGAGUUCUCUGGAAGUGGUGUCAGAAUUAAAAAGGUAGAUCUUCUGCACCUUUAAAAUGUUCCUGUACAUAGAAGGAGGUUCACAGAUGCCGCUGACACCGUCUGGGACACCACCUUCCCCUCACUCAGUGUGGGGACACUGUGUUUUGUCUGUACCAGCCGUGCGUAUGCCUUCCAGCACGGCGGAGGCCAGCGUCCACGCGGUUCCCUGGUCCCUGAACUCUGCGACCAGCCCAGCCUCGCCCAGUGUUUUCAAGUCGUCAGAGACUCGGGGAGGGAGCUUUUCCACUAAACCUGACUCGUGUCUCCAAGCAGGAAGGGCGCACUGUGGGGCGGUGAGAGGUGUGGGUGCCAAGCUCACGGCUUGUCCCAUGGGGCCCUGGGGCCCCCCUGCUCCCCACACACCCACGGUCCCCAUCGGCCUGGAUGCGUUGCUCCACACCUGUUCUGUGUGGGUGGCCAGCACUCCGAAAUGGGGACAGAUCAAUGGCCUUUGCUCCAGGACCAAGGGCACCACCUGCAGAGGGAUGAAGACAGCCAGAGAGGCAGCCGCUCAGGGCCUGCCUCGCAGCAAGACCAUGUCUGUAUCUCGCACACUGGACGUACCCUCACUCCAGAGGGAACCUGGCAGGUCCAAGGGCUCUGGGCCUUCAGUGGGGCUGUGAGUCAGAAAUCCCUGAGCACCCCGCAUCCCAGGGAAAUCCCAGUUUUAGACCCAGGCUGGGGACUGCCAGACCCGGGCCCCCAGAGCUGCUGUGGUCUGGGGAAGAAGUUCCCGGAAAGUCACAGGAGCCGGGCUGUGUGCUCGCCGACGCAAAGCUGCCUGUUCUGCGUUGGGCCGUGUGCCCAGAGCCCAGCACACGGCCUGCUCCAGACUCGCCAGUCAGCGAAUUGAAUUAAACCACAUCAGCACGUGCGGCAAAUAAUUACUGAGUACUUGCCUCCCGUGGGCUGUGAGUUCCGGGCGGGCUCCGGGCACAGAGGAGCAGGCCGGGCAGGACGGUCUUUGCUCCCGGGUCGGGGGCGGCGCAGCCGGCACAGGUGCGGGCCGUCCUACACCCCCCGCGCGGAGCUUCUCCUGGGGCAGAGCCACGCCCUCUCUUGCACACCCCACGCCCCUUUCCUCCCAGUGCACACGCUCCUGCACACGCGCACGCACCACCGCCUGAGUGUAGGGACUGGGCAAGUGUGACUGCGUCUCCCGCCCUCUCCCUGUUCUUUGUUUCUUCCUUCCUUCCUCUUCUAUUUCCCUCCGUCCUCCCUUCCUUCCUGCCUUUCCUUUUUCCUUUCUUCUCUGCUCCCCCUUAUUUUCCCCACAACGCGGACACCAGUCAACACAAUAACACUCAACACAAAAAGAAGUGCUUAAAAGUGAGAAUUCGUUGCCUCUUUCCUGAAACACUGUUAAUUCCAAAAGAGUCUUUUUACAUUGUUUUGGUACAUUUAGACCACCCAAUUAGUAAACAGACAUAAACUGACACUGCUCUAAAUACAUUAUUUAUUUCGUUUAAAAAUUUACAAGAAGUCCAUCAAUAAUGCAUCCGAGUGGAGAAACAUAAAUUCGCUUUCGGCCGAGCCCCCAAAACCAGAUUGGACUCACCUUUCUCACUCCUCUGUC